rnacentral:rRNA from 1 species
CGUAGGUGGCAAGCGUUGUCCGGAGUUACUGGGUGUAAAGGGCGUGUAGGCGGGAAGAUAAGUCAGAUGUGAAAUUCCAUGGCUCAACUGUGGCGCUGCAUCUGAAACUAUUUUUCUUGAGUGAUGGAGAGGAAAGUGGAAUUCCUAGUGUAGCGGUGAAAUGCGUAGAUAUUAGGGGGAACACCAGUGGCGAAGGCGACUUUCUGGACAUUAACUGACGCUGAGGCGCGAAAGCGUGGGGAGCAAACAGGAUUAGAUACCCUGGUAGUCCACGCUGUAAACGAUGGAUACUAGGUGUAGGAGGUAUCGACCCCUCCUGUGCCGCGGUUAACACAAUAAGUAUCCCACCUGGGGAGUACGGCCGCAAGGUUG